GAUGGACGCUGGCGGCGUGCCUAAUACAUGCAAGUCGAGCGAACAGACGAGGAGCUUGCUCCUCUGACGUUAGCGGCGGACGGGUGAGUAACACGUGGAUAACCUACCUAUAAGACUGGGAUAACUUCGGGAAAUCGGAGCUAAUACCGGAUAAUAUAUUGAACCGCAUGGUUCAAUAGUGAAAGACGGUUUUGCCGUCACUUAUAGAUGGAUCCGCGCCGCAUUAGCUAGUUGGUAAGGUAACGGCUUACCAAGGCAACGAUGCGUAGCCGACCUGAGAGGGUGAUCGGCCACACUGGAACUGAGACACGGUCCAGACUCCUACGGGAGGCAGCAGUAGGGAAUCUUCCGCAAUGGGCGAAAGCCUGACGGAGCAACGCCGCGUGAGUGAUGAAGGUCUUCGGAUCGUAAAACUCUGUUAUUAGGGAAGAACAAAUGUGUAAGUAACUAUGCACGUCUUGACGGUACCUAAUCAGAAAGCCACGGCUAACUACGUG
rnacentral:rRNA from 1 species